rnacentral:lncRNA from 1 species
CAAGGAAUGGUUUAGAAGCAGGAUCACUGAUGUUGCAGAAAGGAGCACCGUGAAUCAGGACCUCUCACCACGCAUGCCUCAUGGGGUUCAGAGCAUUUCAGCCCAAAUGAAAAUGAGGCAGCAGCUAAAAAUUCCAACACUGCCUUCCCCUCCCACCCACAUCCAGGCCCACGUGUGAGGCGAGGCAAUUCAGAUGAAAUUCAUGACCAUUGGUGCCUUCACCGCCACAGAAAAUGAGACGUAAAGGAGUAGGCCACACCCACCUGAGCUUUCCCUCCCCUCACAACAUCCUGGCCACUGGAGAGAUUUGCUGUUCAAUUCAACAACACAUGUUGAAACCUAUGCUGUCCCAGACUCUGCUGGGAGUUGAGACUGCGGAGAUGACUAAGACCUGGCCCCCAUCCUCAAGCAGCUCUCAGUGCAGGGACGGAGAAACACCUGUAAGCGGACUCUGCAGUGGUAAGGAAGGUACAACUCCCAGGGGGCUACCCCAUUCAGAGACAGUCUCAGAGAAUGCUGAGCACCAGCCCUGAUCACCGCCAACAACUCAUCCCUAGAGGUGAACACAUUUUCCUAUGAAAAAACAACUCAUCCAAAUGGGAUCACAUCAAGUUAAAAAGCUUCUCCACAGCAAAGGAAACAAUGAACAAAGUGAAGAGACAACCCACACAAUGGGAGAAAAUGUUUGCAAAUUAUCCAUCUGACCAGGGAUUAAUAACCAGAAUAUACAAGGAGCUCAAACAACUCUAUAGGAAAAUAUCUAGUCAUCCAAUUUAAAAAUUGGCAAAAGAUCUGAAUAGACAUCUCCCAAAAGAAGACAUACAAAUGGCAAACGGGCACGUGAAAAGGUGCUCAACGUCACUGAUCAUCAGAGAAAUGCAAAUCACAACUACAAUGAGAUGUCAUCUUACCGUUGUUAAAAUGGCUUUUAUCCAGAAGACAGGCAAUAACAAAUGCUGGUGAGAUGUGGAGAAAAGGGAACCCUCCUACACUGUUGGUGGGAAUGUAAAUUAGUAGAGUCACUAUGGAGAACUGUUUGGAGGUUCCUCAAAAAACUAAAAGUAGAGCUAUCAUAUGAUCCAGCAAUCCCACUGCUGGAUAUAUACCCAAAAGAAAGGAAAUCAGUUUAUCAAAGAGGUACCUGCACUCCCAUGUUUAUUGCAGCACUGUUCACAAUAGCCAAGAUCUGGAAGCAACCCAAGUGUCCAUCAACAAAUUAAUGGAUGAAGAAAAUAUAGUACAUAUACACAAUGGAGUACUAUUCAGCCAUAGAAAAGAAUGAGAUUCUGUCUUUUGCAACAUGGUGGAACUAGAGAUCAUUAUGUUAUGUGAAAUAAAACA